rnacentral:rRNA from 1 species
AGGGGGACAACAGUUGGAAACGACUGCUAAUGCCGCAUGACACAUAGAUGUCGCAUGGCAUUUAUGUCAAAGAUUUAUCGCUGAAAGAUGGCCUCGCGUCUGAUUAGCUAGUUGGUGAGGUAACGGCCCACCAAGGCGACGAUCAGUAGCCGGACUGAGAGGUUGAACGGCCACAUUGGGACUGAGAUACGGCCCAGACUCCUACGGGAGGCAGCAGUGGGGAAUAUUGGGCAAUGGGCGCAAGCCUGACCCAGCAACGCCGCGUGAAGGAAGAAGGCUUUCGGGUUGUAAACUUCUUUUGU